rnacentral:rRNA from 1 species
UGAGAGGACGAUCAGCCACAUUGGGACUGAGACACGGCCCAGACUCGUACGGGAGGCAGCAGUGGGGAAUAUUGGACAAUGGGGGCAAGCCUGAUGCAGCCAUACCGCGUGUGUGAAGAAGGCCUUUGGGUUGUAAAGCACUUU